rnacentral:lncRNA from 1 species
GCGUUGCUAUCUCCCUCCCUAGGUGCCGUCGGUUUUCCACUCAUGGAAGCGGCGGCUCGCCAACAUCCAGGGACAAGAUAAAAGCGUAAGCGUAAGUGACGGACCCUUGCGCUACUUUGCGUUUUCAUUGUCUUUUGCAUCUGUGCACACAUCAUCUGCGCUUGUGGCUGUGCCGAGACAUGUGGGCUCGGGAGAACCUGGAAUGGUCGUCGCUGGGGGGGGAGCCCCUUAGCGCGACCAGAUAGAUCGUCGUAUCGUCUGUGAUGUCAUCCCUGAAGACCGUCUCAUCAAAAAAUAAGCAUCAUUGUCCAAAUCAAGUGGAAUGUUGUCACGCAUUUAUAUCUUUAGACCUUUAAAUGGCUGUUUCCAAAGCUGUUUCAUGUGCGUGUGCACCGCAUCCCGGCGUUUUACUGUCGUUGUUGUUGACAAUUAGUAGCGGCACAUGCUUUCUGGCAACUGACUGAAAGGCACAGGUUGCCCGUUUCAGACUGCUUGCCGGGUGAUACGUACGACUGAUGAGCCGUGUUCUUCUCAACACAUCGGUGUCUUCUUUACAGCCAGAUAGAUACGUCCUUGCUUUUGCGUGUACGGCGUAUGAAGUAUGAAUUGCGGCACGCGUGAAGGCCACUGACGUCCAAACUCAUCACAACUCUUCCGAAAAAAACCCGAGGGAGCGACUGAAACAUAUACAUACAUACACAUGGGGUCCACGAGAGGGGCAUCUCGUCCCCGUCUGCUAGGAUCUGGAUAUCAAAUCUAUGAUGCGGCUAUUUCCACAGUAGCAUAAAGUUCAAACCCAAAAUUACUUGCACCAACAACCGCACCCGAUUUAGCACACAGACAUGCGCGUCUUUGUUGGUUGUUGACGACUUAGUGCACAAACCCAAACACACGCGCAUGUGUGCACGCACAGGCGGACACACAUACAUACACACAUACACGUGUGUGCUGGUUUGCCGCAAACAGAGGACACACACGCGAACACACCAGAGGGCGCACAUAAAUACGUAUGCACAUAUACACAGCGGUGCCCUCCUUACCGCUGCGCCCUCAGAACCAGACCUCCCACCAUCCUGUAUCUCAGAUGGUAGUAGAGAAGUGAGCAAUAAUCAUGACAGCCAGCCGCACUGCACCCUCGGGCAACGGGCGAAGACCGGUGACGAUGUCGACGAUAUGUCCCAACUUCAGCCACUUCCGAUUCCGUUCUGUACCUCUAGCUUCAAAGUUUUGUUGCCUUCCUUAAGCGCAGUUAAGACCAAGGCUAAAUCUUUAAAUCUGCACAUACGAAGAAGUGACGUGAUGAGUGCAUCAAGCCAUACGCGCCAAAAAGUAAAAGCCGACUUAUGCUGAUUAUGUACCUAAACUUAUUAUACCUUAAGAAAAUAUCUACCACGUGUGACACGAAAAACUUGCGAUAUGAGUGGUGGUCCCCCGGGACAAAGCCCACCGCCGCUUUUAAUAAUUUGACUGAAAAUCAGCCUUCAAAGAGCAAAAUUCAAUUUAUCCCAAAAUGCUAGCAUAUCUAGGACUGCGGUUUGCCCACAAGCCAACGUUUUCUGUACCCGUCUUGACACGCGCUGGACACAUACAUAAUACAUACAUACAUACAUACAUACAUACAUACAUACGUGCGUACGUACAUACAUGCAUACAUACGUAUGUAUGUGCAAGGUCAACACAUACUGCCAGUCGCCGUGACCAUCACCAACAGGCCGCCGCACAUAACCGCCGCACACACAUCCCACACCCCCUGCCUCAUCAUCGGGGACGACCCAUUAGCGUGUCGCAGCUGCUCGCUACGGGGUUGGGUUGGGUUGGGUUGGGUGGGUUAAGGACUCGGAUACCUGUAAAUAGUGGUCCUUGACGUGCGCCGCCAUGAGCUGGGGCAGAAGACACACAUACGAGGCUCGAAAUAAAUUACGGCAUAAAUUACGGCACACAGGAAUAGGCUCCAGAACCAAGAUGUCGCCGAGUGCAGGUUGCCGCACGUUUCAGAAACUGCUUACUUGCUGUAGAGUGGACUGGAAGGCGGAACUGGAUUCCUCAACCCGUAACGCGAAAACGACCAUUUCUUUCAAAUAGAGGACAACAGUCAUAUUCAGUAAGAAGGAAAGGUAACCAUAGCUAUUAUGAUGACGAUAAUAUAAUAAUAAUGUUACCGUUAACGAUUACGAAAGAUAAACAAUAUGUUUGUGAUAGCAUCAACUGCUCAAGGAUUCCAAUGUAAGGUACAAUUGCAAACACUGCUGCUGCACAUUCUGAGCCCUCCUGCUUCCACAGCACGACCCGACCUAAAGCUGAGAUCCUCCCAAGCCUUUGAGAGGCGCUGCAUGAUAUUGCCAAGACCUUCAAACCAUGAUGUCCUGCUCAGCAUGCACGGGUUGGGUGAGCACCAGCCCCC